CGGCGUGCCUAAUACAUGCAAGUCGAACGAGUUCUGAUUAUUGAAAGGUGCUUGCAUCUUGAUUUAAUUUUGAACGAGUGGCGGACGGGUGAGUAACACGUGGGUAACCUGCCCUUAAGUGGGGGAUAACAUUUGGAAACAGAUGCUAAUACCGCAUAAAUCCAAGAACCGCAUGGUUCUUGGCUGAAAGAUGGCGUAAGCUAUCGCUUUUGGAUGGACCCGCGGCGUAUUAGCUAGUUGGUGAGGUAACGGCUCACCAAGGCAAUGAUACGUAGCCGAACUGAGAGGUUGAUCGGCCACAUUGGGACUGAGACACGGCCCAAACUCCUACGGGAGGCAGCAGUAGGGAAUCUUCCACAAUGGACGCAAGUCUGAUGGAGCAACGCCGCGUGAGUGAAGAAGGCUUUCGGGUCGUAAAACUCUGUUGUUGGAGAAGAAUGGUCGGCAGAGUAACUGUUGUCGGCGUGACGGUAUCCAACCAGAAAGCCACGGCUAACUACGUGCCAGCAGCCGCGGUAAUACGUAGGUGGCAAGCGUUAUCCGGAUUUAUUGGGCGUAAAGCGAGCGCAGGCGGUUUUUUAAGUCUGAUGUGAAAGCCCUCGGCUUAACCGAGGAAGUGCAUCGGAAACUGGGAAACUUGAGUGCAGAAGAGGACAGUGGAACUCCAUGUGUAGCGGUGAAAUGCGUAGAUAUAUGGAAGAACACCAGUGGCGAAGGCGGCUGUCUGGUCUGUAACUGACGCUGAGGCUCGAAAGCAUGGGUAGCGAACAGGAUUAGAUACCCUGGUAGUCCAUGCCGUAAACGAUGAAUGCUAGGUGUUGGAGGGUUUCCGCCCUUCAGUGCCGCAGCUAACGCAUUAAGCAUUCCGCCUGGGGAGUACGACCGCAAGGUUGAAACUCAAAGGAAUUGACGGGGGCCCGCACAAGCGGUGGAGCAUGUGGUUUAAUUCGAAGCAACGCGAAGAACCUUACCAGGUCUUGACAUCUUUUGAUCACCUGAGAGAUCAGGUUUCCCCUUCGGGGGCAAAAUGACAGGUGGUGCAUGGUUGUCGUCAGCUCGUGUCGUGAGAUGUUGGGUUAAGUCCCGCAACGAGCGCAACCCUUAUGACUAGUUGCCAGCAUUUAGUUGGGCACUCUAGUAAGACUGCCGGUGACAAACCGGAGGGAGGUGGGGAUGACGUCAAAUCAUCAUGCCCCUUAUGACCUGGGCUACACACGUGCUACAAUGGAUGGUACAACGAGUUGCGAGACCGCGAGGUCAAGCUAAUCUCUUAAAGCCAUUCUCAGUUCGGACUGUAGGCUGCAACUCGCCUACACGAAGUCGGAAUCGCUAGUAAUCGCGGAUCAGCACGCCGCGGUGAAUACGUUCCCGGGCCUUGUACACACCGCCCGUCACACCAUGAGAGUUUGUAACACCCGAAGCCGGUGGCGUAACCCUUUUAGGGAGCGAGCCGUCUAAGGUGGGACAAAUGAUUAGGGUG
rnacentral:rRNA from 1 species